UGGUAGAUAAGAAGCUGGACAUGAGCCAGCAGUGUGCACUUGCAGCCAGGAAGGCCAACUGUGUUCUGUGUUGCUUUAAAAAAGGGUUGGCCAGCAAGGAGAGGGAAUUGAUUGUGCCCCUCUACUCAGCUCUUGUGAGGCCCCAUCUGGAGUACUGCGUCCAGGCCUGGGGCCCCCAGUACAGGAAGGACGUGGAGCUCUUGGGGCAGGUCAAGAGGAGGGCCACGAAGAUGAUCAGAGGGCUGGAGCACCUCUCCUCUGAAGUAAGAGUGAGGGAACUGAGCUUGUUUAGCUUGGAAAUGAGAUGGCUCUGGGGAGACCUCAUUGUGGCCUUUCAGUACUUGAAGGGAGCAUAUAAACCGGAGGGGGAAUGGCUGUUUACGAGCGUGGAUAGUGAUAGGACAAGGGGGAAUGGCUUUAAACUGAGACAGGAGGUUUAGGUUGGAGAUUAGGAGGAAGUUUUUCACUCAGAGGGUGGUGACACACUGGAACAGGUUUCCCAAGGAGGUUGUGGAUGCCCCAUCCCUGGAGGCCUUCAAGGCCAGGCUGGAUGUGUCUCUGGGCAGCCUGGUCUAGUGGAUGGCAAUCCUACACAUAGCAGGGGGGUUGAAACUCAGUGAUCGCUGUGGUCCUUUUCAACCCACGCCAUUCUAUCAUUCUAUGAUUCUAUGAUUAUUACAUGUUAAUCUAGAUCAUAUGCUUGUGAAAUAACACCAAAUUAACUUUGAAAAGAAAAGAAAACGGAUUCAUGCAACAUUUUAAGUACUUUUGUCUUUUUCUUCUUACACUGACUGCAUAUUUUCAAUUAAAGUUAAUAGAAAUACUAGUUUAAUUAAG
rnacentral:lncRNA from 1 species